rnacentral:lncRNA from 10 species
CGGACGCCCAGCCGCGGUCCCAGCGACCUUCGCUUUCGUGGGGAAGCCGGACUGCGCCGUGUCUUCCUGAAGAAGGCUGGGGUACGGAGUCUCGCUCUGUCGCCCAGGCUGAAGUGUAGAGUGCAGUGGCAUGAUCUCAGCUCAUUGCAACUUCCACCUCCUGGGUUGAAGCAAUUCUUCUGCCUCAGCCUCCGGAGUAGCUGGGAAUACAGGUGCAGGCUGCCACGCCCGGCUCAUUUUUGUGUUUUAGUAGAGAUAGGGUUUCACCAUGUUGCCCAGGCUGGUCUCAACUCCUGAGCUCAGGCAAUCCUCCCGCCUUAGCCUCCCAAAGUGGUAGGAUUACAGGCGUGAGCCACUGCACCUGGCCCUCGACUCACAGAUUUUCAAAAUACUUUUGAACAGUAAGCUGAGGACAGUGUUUAUUAUGACUAUACUGGUCUCCUUUCACUAGCUCACAAAAUUUAACUACAUCACUUGUCAGUCUCCUAAAAAUGCAGUGUAUGUGCUUUGAAACUUGUGAAUGAUCUGCUGAUUUGUGCUAUUUUAUAUUCAAUGUUGUUGAAAGAAUAGUUUUUAAACCAAGUAAUGCAAAAAUUUAGUGUAACAUGAAUGCUUGUGCUGUAAAACAUACUGGAAAAUCAAUAGCUCUGGAAUAAACUUUGGAUUUUUAAUUAAAAUUGA